CUUUGGUGAUAUGAUGCGAUGUUUGGCACUGUUACACUUGUGAUGCACGCUGCUUCCUGCCCCUGUGCCAGAAAACAACAUUUACCGAGGUCGCAUGCAGAGUGCUUGAUUAGUAUCGGAGCAGCUGAAGAGUGCUCAAGCAAAGGUCACCAGAAGAUAACCCUCCACAGAGUUCAGCUGGCACCUUUACUGGCCUGACAGAAGAUGAACAUCACCUGAGUUCCUGGGAGCUUCACAAUCAGGUACAGAGAUGAACAGGAACAAGGGAGAGGCUUUCACGCUGCUGUCUUUGCAGAUGACAGUAAGGAAUUGGGAAUGUAUGUGUCAAUGUGCAAGCUGUUACAAAACAAAGCCAUACUGUAAUGUUAAAAAGCAUGCAGUAGACUUAGCACAAGACAAAACAUCAAAGGGAAGAAUAAAAGGAUUCAUGUUCAGAUCUGCAAGCCUGGAUCAAAUGCUGAGCCAUAAGGGUUGAAUUUUAAUCCAAACCCAGGUAUUUCAGAGGUCAUCGUUAUUACUUAAACCUUGGUUGUAUAAGGCAAAAAAAGAAGCAAAAAUAAACCCUUUGAAGCACUGGCGGCUUUCCUUUAUAAAUUUUGCUAAGGACUAAUUAAUGUGUCAUAUAUUUUACUUGACUGAAGUACUAGGAAGUGGCGGCUAUAAAGCAGAUGAUUUGGAAAAGUGAAUCAGCUUCCCACUCUCUCUGUAAAACGCUAAUACUAAGGGUGCUGUUUCUUGCUGUCGUAGUCUCACUCAAAACACAGCCAUCUUCUUCAACAGGAAAGAAAUCUCCUGUAUUUUCAUGAUACCUAAAGAAAACCUGUCUUAUCCCAGUGAUGUCUUGUAAUUAACCACCUGAGUCUGUUUUCUUCAGCAAACUGGGCUGCGGGCCAAGAUGUUCAGAGAGUGAAGUUGGAAGAGCAUCAAAUUUUGAGGCUUCGGUAACCUUGAGCACGUAGAAGAGAAUAUGCUUUUUUGAGCAGGUCACAUAUAGAGCAUUUAUUAGAACUUGCACAUUACAAGUAUCAACAUUUUUUUUCCAGAAGUUUCAGCUGCAUCUUUUUAUGCUCAAGACUUCUUCUGUCACCUCUGAGUUCACUGUGUCUCAACACUUCAUGAUACAGCAUUUUCAGCACUACAAACGGUACUCCAAGUCUGGAUUAAGCUGUGAUCAAUUUUGUGCCCUCCCAAGGUACUCACCCAAGGU